UACGUAGGGCGCAAGCGUUGUCCGGAAUUAUUGGGCGUAAAGAGCUCGUAGGCGGCUUGUCACGUCGAUUGUGAAAGCCCGAGGCUUAACCUCGGGUCUGCAGUCGAUACGGGCUAGCUAGAGUGUGGUAGGGGAGAUCGGAAUUCCUGGUGUAGCGGUGAAAUGCGCAGAUAUCAGGAGGAACACCGGUGGCGAAGGCGGAUCUCUGGGCCUUACCUGACGCUGAGGCGCGAAAGCUAGGGGAGCGAACAGG
rnacentral:rRNA from 1 species